CGCCUCGCUGUCCUCGAUGUACCAGAGUCAGAGGAGGAGAUCAUCUUCAACCAGCAGCCACGACCUUCAUGGAUUGGAUGGUCCCUAGGUACUAAGGACUCAAACCCAUCACCAUGACAACCGACACGAGAGUAAGGUCACAGGAAAUGCCCAGAGCGAUGUGGCCUUCAGCAGUCUGCUGGAAGCUGAGGUGAUUCCAGACAGGAAGUUGCUUCAGCAGAUUAGCAGGGCAGAGAGCAGCAGCAGCCGCAACAUAGAUCCCUACCUUGACUUUUUUCUGUCUCUCGCCAUUUGCAACACUGUGGUGGUUUCUAUGGCAACAGCUCGGAGACAGAGUUUGAGUGGGUUUUCACGCUCCGAUCAGAGAAGCAACCCAUUGGAUACUUUGUCCAGCCUGACAAAAAAAUCUGUCUCUCUUCGCCCUAUUUUUACCUCCUGGCAGCACAAGCCCAAAAAAAAU